rnacentral:rRNA from 1 species
UACGUAGGGUGCAAGCGUUAUCGGAAUUACUGGGCGUAAGCGAGUGUAGGCGGUUUGGUAAGUCGGAUGUGAAAGCCCCGGGCUCAACCCGGGAAGUGCACUCGAUACUGCCAGCUAGAGUAUCGGAGAGGUUGGUGGAAUUCUCGGUGUAGAGGUGAAAUUCGUAGAUAUCGAGAGGAACACCGGUGGCGAAGGCGGCCAACUGGACGAAUACUGACGCUGAGACUCGAAAGCCGUGGG